UUGUGCGCACUCUCCUUACAAUUAUUUUGUACACUCAAACAUUAUUUUAGAUGUAAAGAAACAUUCGUACCGUUUUCAUUCAAGAACCAUCGUACGACUGGUACUAGCCAGUCCACCUCGUGGUUAUGAAAUCCAUUAUAUCAGCGUGACUAAUUUUCAGAAACCCACCAUGAAACAGACUUUAUAUUUGUACUAUAUCGAGGCCACUAUAGUUUCGCAAGCAAGUAAUGAAUCAUUGCUCGUUUCUUUUGUCAGCUAUUUUAAAAUUAAGAUCCCUAUAUAUUCUUUCAAUUAAAUAUAGAUACAACACACAUGAAAUAAUAUGCUAAUGCCCUUUAAAUAACCACGGAUUAUUCUUACUACUUUCUGCAACUGAUUAACGUUAUGUACAAUCUGAUCAUAUCAAUAGUGACAGAAUUAUUAAAUAUUCCAGACUAUUUAAAGCAUUUCAGCGUAUAUUACCAGCGUAGUAAUAAGUUUAAACGAACAAAUGGAUGCGGGAUUAGGUAUAACAAUAUAAUUCAAUGAAAACAAUAACAAAUACAUAUAUUUCUCGAAAUGUGAUACACUUUGACGUUGGUGGUCGUAUUUUAAUUCUCGCGUGUACUGUUUUCUCAUCUUUUUUCGUUUCAAAUGGAUCGGAUGGCGUGUCAUUUAAAUGGACGCGGCGACGUCAUCUAAAACUCUUCCCAUUAUGUUGCAUUUAUUUCUGCUCUUUUCUUUUCUGCUUUUUUUUUGCUUUUUUACUUUUUCUUCCGUUCUGUCAUCGUCGUUAAAUUCUAAUUGGAGCAAAGCUGUCAGUUGCAUCUACCGUGUUUUUCUCUAAUUAUCUUUUUUCUACGAUUUCUCCUUUACGACAUUUUUUCUCUUUAUAGAUUUUUUUUCUUUUUGCUUCGCUAUCCUCAGACUGCAGUAUUCAGCGCGCGCGCAUACGCCACGUGCGCACGCACGUGGUCACAUUGUUUACCUUUUCUAUUUCCUUUGUUUUCAUUUUACAUAACCAACAAACACUAUUGCGCUUCAUCGUUUUGUCAUUGUUUGAAAACUGUGCCGAGAUCCAAGACCGGUCACUUAGAAAGCUACGAAGUAGUUUAAUUAAUUAGCAACUUGUACUAGAAGAGUCCACAGUCUAUUUAUAACAAUCGGAAAAGAAACAAAAAAUGCCUGGCUUUGUUGUAAUUUGUCGCUAGACGCUACUAAUCGCAGUUACAAGAUACAAAAAGUACGUUUUGUUAGGCAUUGUGUGACAAUUUUUCUCCAUUAUUCAUAUUUAAAUAGCUUUCGAUGCAUCGGAUGUUACAAUCUAAUGAGUUCUGUUUAUCUUUCAGGUAAUCAGGCUGCAUGCCAAAAAAGCGACGUGUUUUAUGUGUGAUCUGAUUGAACAAUGAGUGCGGAGAUGUUCCUUGCAUUGUAUGUUCUUAAUCUAAUCUGUAUCUGUGUUACCUCAUUCUAUCACGUUCCUCACGCAUGGAGUUAGCAAUACAUUUAGAAAUGUUAAAUGUCACAUUCGUAAAUCGCUUUUUUGUUGUCUAACUUUUGCCUUUCAUUUCUUCUUCGCAAUCAAGUAAAGGGAUACGUCUAAACGAAUUUCUUCAAUCGUAUUUUACUAGGAGCUGAAUCACGAGUCUAAACUGAAAAAGCAAUUCGCGUGUAAUUUCGUUUUUGCAGUUACGAGAUUCACCCGCGUAUAUACUAUAAACUACACAAAAAUUUCAUAUUAUACAACGUGCAUAAAAUCUCGGCGAAAAAAAGAAAAUAUAUAUAUAUAUAUAUAUGAUAACAAGACGUAAAACAAUUUUCCAUAUCGUCGACAUGAUUAAUUAUACAUGGACUCUGUUCUAACUAAAAUUUACAAUUAUAAAAUAGAGUCGAUUCUAUGAAGUUUUAACGCGUGAUCGCAAAAAAUAAAGAAACAAAUGUACAGAGUACGUAUACUUUAAUUAACUAGAAAAUGUAAUUGCCGUAUAAAAAACUGGCGGUUUCGAAGCGAAUCUGUCAUUGGCAAAGCCUUCUAUAAAAUUAAUUCAUCUUGUAUAUGUCUACAAAUAUACACGUAUAUAUGAUAGUAUCUAUGAUGUAUCAUAUAUAUAUAUCAUUAUACGUUAUAAGCUCUUUGAGAAUUCGUGUAGUGUAGGGUCAAAAGGAACAGAUAAAAAAUGAUAAAAUAACAAAUUAAUAAUGUAACAAAUGAAUAACAGGCGCAAUAUAAAAAAAGUUCCACCGGGAACAUGCUCUUAAUGCCGAUUUCACGUCGCAGAAGGUGCUAAAAAACAUGUGUAUAUAAUAAUUAUACUCGAUUAUUGUCACUGAGCGUUGCAACGAGCAGAAUCCCUUAUCAUUUAGCGCAUCAACAGUACAUAAAAUAUUAGUCGCAUGUGUAUUAUUCGUGAAAGGCGCAUGAGUGGGCUUAGCUCAUGAUUACUCUUCUUUUUCGCAUUUGAAUUUCUUUGCUUUUCUUUGUCAGACAAGAGGAAGCAACUACGAACAGAGAUAUAUGUUAUUUAUUCUUGUCCGAAGGGUAGCCCUUUUAAUACACGAUUUAUUCCUAUGAUCAUGUGUAUAACUCUCGCCGUGGCGUCAUUAACAAUGGAACAUGCAAUUGCUUUUUCUUUCAAUAAAAAAGUACUCUUCAUCUCCUUUUUAAGAAUGAUCAUUAUACGAUUCUCUAGAAUUUUGAUUUAUGCAAUUAUAUCUUGCCAUAAAAAAGAACUAAUAGUACGGUGGUACUUAGUAAAAAAUAUUUACAGAUAACAAUAAACAUUUAAAAAAGAUCCAAGUUGUAUGGUGCUUGUGUGGGAACAUAUUGAAACAAUGGGCAAAUGAAAUAUAAAGAAGAUAGAUAUCAAGAGAUAAAUAGAUAGAUAACAGAAAUAUAUUAUUAGCAACAGACAGAUAAGUAUAGAAAGAGGAGAAUAACAAUAAAAUAAUGCGAUGUCAUUGGGAAACUGAAAGGAAAAGAAAUAGGAAUGAAGAAAUGAAGAGCUAGAUUUAAUAGAAGAAAUAACAGAACAGGUCAAACGAAUAAAAGAGUAGCAGAAUUUGAUAAAAAAAA